CCCUUAGAUGUUCUGGGCCGCACGCGUGCUACACUGAUGCAUUCAACGAGUCUAAAACCUGGUCUGAUAGGACUGGGUAAUCUUUUGAAAGUGCAUCGUGAUUGGGAUAGAUGAUUACAAUUCUUCAUCUUCAACGAGGAAUGCCUAGUAAACGCAAGUCAUCAGCUUGCAUUGAUUACGUCCCUGCCCUUUGUACACACCGCCCGUCGCUCCUACCGAUUGAAUGAUCCGAUGAAUACCAUGGAUUGAGAGUACGAAUAGGUUCGCUUAUUUCUGCUGCUCGAGAAGUGGAGUAAAUCUUAUCAUUUAGAGGAAGGAGAAGUCGUAACA
rnacentral:rRNA from 1 species